UCCUCGGUAGUAUAUCGGCUAGUACACCCGCCUGUCAUAAGUUGGCAAUCCAUCGCGGGAGAGCGGGGUUCGACUCCCCGCCGAGGAG
rnacentral:tRNA from 2 species